AGAGUUUGAUCCUGGCUCAGAACGAACGCUGGCGGCAUGCCUAACACAUGCAAGUCGAACGAAGGCCCGAUGCUUGCACCGGUUACCUUAGUGGCGGACGGGUGAGUAACGCGUGGGAACCUACCCAGCAGUACGGAACAACCACGGGAAACUGUGGCUAAUACCGUAUACGCCCCCCGGGGGAAAGAUUUAUCGCUGUUGGAUGGGCCCGCGUCGGAUUAGCUUGUUGGUGGGGUAACGGCCUACCAAGGCGACGAUCCGUAGCUGGUCUGAGAGGAUGAUCAGCCACACUGGGACUGAGACACGGCCCAGACUCCUACGGGAGGCAGCAGUGGGGAAUAUUGGACAAUGGGGGAAACCCUGAUCCAGCAAUGCCGCGUGAGUGAAGAAGGCCUUAGGGUUGUAAAACUCUUUCACCGGGGAAGAUGAUGACGGUACCCGGAGAAGAAGCCCCGGCUAACUCCGUGCCAGCAGCCGCGGUAAUACGGAGGGGGCUAGCGUUGUUCGGAAUUACUGGGCGUAAAGCGCGCGUAGGCGGCUUGACAAGUCAGACGUGAAAGCCCCGGGCUUAACCUGGGAACUGCGUUUGAAACGGUCAGGCUUGAGGCCGGGAGAGGGUAGUGGAAUUCCCAGUGUAGAGGUGAAAUUC
rnacentral:rRNA from 1 species